rnacentral:rRNA from 1 species
UACGGAAGGCAGCAGUGGGGAAUAUUGCACAAUGGGCGCAAGCCUGAUGCAGCCAUGCCGCGUGUAUGAAAAAGGCCUUCGGGUUGUAAAGUACUUUCUAGUCGUGAGGAAGGUGUUAAGGUUAAUAACCUUAGCAAUUGACGUUAGCGACAGAAGAAGCACCGGCUAACUCCGUGCCAGCAGCCGCGGUAAUACGGAGGGUGCGAGCGUUAAAUCGGAAUUACUGGGCGUAAAGGGCACGCAGGCGGUUAAUUAAGUUGGAUGUGAAAUCCCCGGGCUUAACCUGGGAAUGGCAUUCAAGACUGGUUAGCUAGAGUCUUGUAGAGGGGGUAGAAUUCCAUGUGUAGCGGUGAAAUGCGUAGAGAGUGUGGAGGAAUACCGGUGGCGAAGGCGGCCCCUGGACAAAGACUGACGCUCGAUGUGCGAAAGCGUGGGGAGCAAACAGGGAUUAGAUACC